UACGUAGGGUGCAAGCGUUGUCCGGAAUUAUUGGGCGUAAAGAGCUCGUAGGCGGUUUGUUGCGUCGGCUGUGAAAUCCCGAGGCUCAACCUCGGGUCUGCAGUCGAUACGAGCAAACUAGAGUGUUGCAGGGGAGACUGGAAUUCCUGGUGUAGCGGUGAAAUGCACAGAUAUCAGGAGGAACACCGGUGGCGAAGGCGGGUCUCUGGGCCGUUACUGACGCUGAGGAGCGAAAGCGUGGGGAGCGAACAGG
rnacentral:rRNA from 1 species